rnacentral:lncRNA from 1 species
AACCCUCUUCCCCAGAGUGACUGACGGACAAACAGACAGCCAGCCAGGCAUCAGUGAUGCACCAUACCACUCUCUCUCUGGGACAGGACUCUUAUCUCCCACUCUGUUCACAGGGGGAAUGCAAUCCAUCGUUUAUAGACCUUUUGGGCAUUAUAACAUUCUUACCAUCUACGGUCAUCAUUUUGAACAACCCAAAGCCAACCAUGUCGACCAAGGAGGAGACACCCGCCGACGGAGACAAACCGCAGACGUCCUCCUGGAAAGAUUCUAUCUACAACCCACGAACAGGAGAGUUUAUUGGCCGAACCGCUAAAAGCUGGG